AUCUAGCUCACGAGUCUCAAAUAGGACGAAACGUGAGUCAUGGAU
rfam:Schistosoma haematobium C9685150_1, whole genome shotgun sequence.